rnacentral:lncRNA from 1 species
UCUUUCUUUCUUCUUUCUUUCUUUCUUUCUUUCUUUCUUUCUUUUUUUUUUUUGAAACCCUAUCUCGGGGAAAAAGAAAAAAAAAAGGCAGAGGAAUCUUCAUUAACUGUUAAAUCUCUCUAAUCUAUUUCUCAGACAGUCAGAAAGACAAUUUAGUUUCCUUUUGGUUAAAUGGGGGCUUAAUAUGAGUGCCUGAUCUUGAUUUUUCUGUUUGGGUCUAAUUCAGGAGCUUAGCUCACAACAAGAGGUUCUUGUGAAUUUGAUUUUAAAAUGCCCCCCUUUUGUUCAAACUGGUGAAUUGUCUCACCUUUCAUUGUUGGUCAAGUUCUUAGCUACCAUCAUUUGGAGGUGAAUGGCUCUCAAAGUUUAGGUGUAAACUUCCUGGUUUUAGAGUAUUUCAUGUCUUUUUUAAAAGAGAAGGUCUCAUCUGUGUAGCCCUGGCUGUCCUGGAAAUCACUAUGUAAACCAGUCUAGACUUGAACUCACAGAAGUCUGUCUGUCUUUGCCUCCCAAGUGCUGGGAAUAAAGGCUUGUGCCACCAAGGCCAGCUUUCAUUAUAUUUGCUCUUUGACUGAUAAUAAUAUGUGUCAUUGGAAUAUUAACAGAACAUGCAAGUUGCACUUAUAGC